GUGGCCAUUUGGCCUGUUUUGAUUGGUAGAUAAAAAAUAUUUUUUUUUACAAACCCUAGAUCUCCAAAAUCUCCUUGACCCUAUUGCUUCCAGCCCUAGCCGCCUCUUCUGCUCUAUCUUCCACUCCCAAAAAAACCCUAGAUCUCCAAAAUCUCCUUGACCCUAUUGCUUCCGGCCCUAGCCGCCUCACUCCCCAUCGAUCCCUUCCUCCGUGCCUUCCCCUCAUCCCUACAUCCUCCCUCUUCUCUCCCCCAUCCCUUCCCCCUCCGGCGACCACAUGUUUAUGGAUCUCGGCUGGACAUCGGCACCUGCGCCUACAUGAGCCCAGAGCGGUCUGGAGUCUAGGGCUUACAGUGCUAGAGCUAAGGAUAUCAAUGGAGAUGAUAAAUGGGAGGUUGUCAAAUGGAAGGAUGUCUAAUGCCACCACCGUGUCUCCGGAAACGAAAGCUUCAAAGAAACACUGAUUCAUGAAGUUGAGUCUUCAGCUUGGAGAAUCCUUCAUUCAUGGUCUCAGUUUUCAAGCAUUGAGCUGAAAGAAGCCACAGCUACUGGCUCUUCCUCAUCCUCGCAUCGCACCCGGCCAAGAUCCGAUUCCUUCGCAUCACUAGAGAUUGGAAUCUCGAUCCAUCAACCAUGAAGGAGUCUCUCAAGUUUCUAGAGGAUCAGAAGCCCUUGACGCAUGCCAAGAUCCCGAUCAGCAUCCUCGCCCUGGAAGGUGAAUAGGACGAAGGCUGAGGAGUCGGCUGACAUGGUGGAAGGGAGUGAUGUUUGAAUCUCUUUCUCAAGAUUGUGAAGGAUAGAUACUGGAUUUCUCACUCUCAUGACGAUGGAGAACAAGGAAGAGGGAUUCACCAACCUCGAAGGUGAAAUAUCAAGUUGAUAUAUAUGAAUUGGAUAGGAUAUACACAUUAGCAUUUUGAAAAUUCAAAUCUUUGUCUGAUAAGUAUGAAAUUGAUAUGAAUUGAUAGGAUUUGUACCUUUUUCAUAUGCAAUCAUAUAUUUGAAAAUCCAAAACUUUGUUUAGAUUUGGAUUGGAUUCUGAUACAUAUAUAAAUUUAAUGGUAGGAAUUGAAUAGAAUUGACACGUUGGUAGCUCAGUGCAUUUUAGAUAAGAAUGGUAAUUAAUCUUUACAAGCCCAAUAAUUUUUUAUCUAUAGCAUUCAAUUGUUGGUAUAAAUGCAAUCCUAAUCCUAAUGUUAAUUGAUCUUACAUGGUCCCACCAUUGGAUGUAGUCAACUCAAUUUCUUGACAUGUGUAACUCAAUUCCUUGACAUGUAAUCUUAUCCUGACAUUGCAUUAAAAUUACUUUGAUUUCUCAAGUACAUGUACAUUAAUUAGAUUAGAUCAAAUAAAUCUCAACUGCCAUCCAUUGUUGCUUAUAAAACCAUCUCAAUGCAUUGUAACAAAGAUAACUCCCACUUUUGGCCCACACAUCUUAGACAUUGUUUGAAAGUUGGCUGAGGCUAUUCAAUAUUAGGUAAAUCUUUUAAUUAUGAUUUCUUUAUUAUUUGUUAAUUUUAAUACCUAACAUCCUUUAUGUUUAUUUUAUACACUUUUUUUUUAUUUUAUAAUAAUUUGAAAGCCCAUUUGAUUUUUUCCAUUGAGUUAUGGUUGUUUGAUACAACGUGGUGAUGGUCACAAAAAAAAAAGGGGCGAAAUUAGCAUUUCUUGCAGAACUCAACCAAGCAGAAUCAGAGGAUGUAUUCUUCAAGCAGGCCUGGCUUACAUAUUUUUGGAGAAGAGCGAAAGCCCAUUUGAAUUCAUUUUAAAGAGACUUUUGGAUAAACAUGGGUAGUACACUUUUGAUAAAAAAUCAGUUUGGUAUCUUUGAAAUUCAGUCCUUUUUGAUUUAUUUAAUUGAUUUUAAUUUUAUUCCCCAUUUGAAUUCAUUUGCUAGUGCCCUACUUUUGAAUAAACAUUGCCCACAAUUGUUGACUAUGUUGUAUACAAUAUAUAAUUUAUUG